rnacentral:rRNA from 1 species
GUUAUCUAAAAUUAGUAAAAUAUUUUUAUUCACGAAACCAGACGAGCUAAAUCUUUUCCUCUUUAGCGGAUAAUUUUAGUGUAGCAGUACUAAUAAAAUAUUAGAAUUUAGGGGUGAUAGGCCUUUCAAGUCUGGUGAUAUCUUGAUUAUAAGGAAAUAUAUUUAGUAUAAGUUCAAUCUAAAAAUGUUAAGGUUUUUAGGGAGCAUAUUUAUAAAUUAGUAUAUAACUGAUUAUGUAAAAAUUACAGUUUAGUUUAAUUUAACAUAAAAUAUAAUAAAUAUAUGUAAAUUACUUAUAUUUUUUACUUAAUCUUAAUAGAAUUACAAAUGAUUACAUUAGUAUAUUAUUAAUUUAUCUUAAGGAACUCGGCAAACUUUUUUCUCGACUGUUUACCAAAAACAUGCCUUAAGAAAGAAUUUAAGGUUUUCUCUGCUCAAUGAUAAUAUUAAAUAGCCGCAGUACCCUGACUGUGCAAAGGUAGCAUAAUCAGUUGGCUUAUAAUUGAAGUCUAGUAUGAAAGGGAAUUCGGGGAAAAGCUGUCUUAAGUAAAAUUACUAGAAUUUUCUUACUAAGUGAAAAUUCUUAGAAUUAGUAAAAAGACGAGAAGACCCUAGAAAUUUGUGACAAUAAGUAUUAACUUAAGUAUUUUGUUGGGGCGACAAGGUAGCAUAUAAACCUGCCAAAGAGUAUAAGAAACUAAUUAGUUGAGUAAAUAAAUUACUCUAGGGAUAACAGCAUUAUUUAAUAUAAGAUUGUGACCUCGAUGUUGGACUAGGAAAUAUUCUACUUAAAAGGUAGAAUAGAAGGCUCUGUUCGAGCUUAAUUACCUACAUGAUCUGAGUUCAGACCGG